rnacentral:rRNA from 1 species
AUGUCCUUCGCUCCCGACUCCAAUGAUUCGAUGACUAGCAAGAUUUUCGUACCGAGACUAAAUGAUGCAGAGCAUCCCACGGUCAUCCCCAUGGACCUACCUACGUAUCCCACGAUACCACUUGAACCAAUGACAAGAGCUCGAGCAAAGGCUAUCGAAACUAAGGUGAACUCGCUCCUCUCCAAACUACCACUUUCUACAUAUGAGCCAUGGCUACUACCUCAAGCGGAGACCCUAUGUGUGAUCAGGUACUUGGAGGAAAGCCACGGAGCAGCUACACCCAACGGACAAGACGACGAGGACACCAAGUACAAGGACCAAGAGGAAGAGCUAGCAGGAAGCUACAACCACCGGACGAUCGGUACUUGUUGGACGCCCGACGCCUGGGAGAACUAG